rnacentral:rRNA from 1 species
AUUGAACGCUGGCGGCAUGCCUAACACAUGCAAGUCGAACGGCAGCGCGGAGAGCUUGCUCUCUGGCGGCGAGUGGCGGACGGGUGAGUAAUGCAUAGGAAUCUGCCCAGUAGCGGGGGACAACCUGGGGAAACUCAGGCUAAUACCGCAUACGCCCUACGGGGGAAAGCGGGGGACCUUCGGGCCUCGCACUAUUGGAUGAGCCUAUGUCAGAUUAGCUUGUUGGUGGGGUAAAGGCCUACCAAGGCGACGAUCUGUAGCUGGUCUGAGAGGACGAUCAGCCACACUGGGACUGAGACACGGCCCAGACUCCUACGGGAGGCAGCAGUGGGGAAUAUUGCACAAUGGGCGAAAGCCUGAUGCAGCAAUGCCGCGUGUGUGAAGAAGGCCUGCGGGUUGUAAAG